rnacentral:rRNA from 1 species
AUUGAACGCUGGCGGCAGGCCUAACACAUGCAAGUCGAACGGAGUGGCGGACGGGUGAGUAAUGUCUGGGAAACUGCCUGGUCGUGGGGGAUAACGUCCGGAACCGGGCGCUAAUACCGCAUACUAUCAGAUGAGCCUAGGUCGGAUUAGCUAGUUGGUGGGGUAAAGGCCUACCAGGGCGACGAUCCGUCACUGGUCUGAGAGGAUGGUAAGUCACACUGGAACUGAGACACGGUCCAGACUCCUAAGGGAGGCAGCAGUGGGGAAUAUGGGACAAUGGGCGAAAGCCUUGUCCAGCCAUGCCGCGUGUGUGAAGAAGGUCUUCGGAGUGUAAAGCACUUUAAGUUGGGAGGCGUUACCAACAGAAGAAGCACCGGCUAACUUCGUGCCAGCAGCCGCGGUAAUAC